rnacentral:lncRNA from 1 species
AGGAAAGGAAGAUAAGUUGGAGAGCAGUGAGGUUGAAGAGGUCAUAAAUGGGGAGUGAGAGGUGGGUUCGCUAUAAAUUGAGAACUUAGAGAUGAGCCAGCAAGCUUAUGACCUCAAAUGACCCGUGUGGAGAGAGUGAGGGAGAGAAGUGAAGGGUCACCCAGAGGUGAGUGAGUGAGGCAUUGAGCUUGUAAAACUUGUAAAUGAGGUAUUGGUGUGUGCAUUAUUCAAAUUAAAUGCUUCAUGAAUAUCAAAGGUCAUUUACCGGUCCAAUAUGGGCUUGUCGGGCCCGGUCAUGGUCGGGCCUCUUUUUUUUCCUAAUUCUUUUUUUAUCUUUUGUUACAAAUAUGUUUUUGGAUUUGAGAUAAUAAGUGCGAAUUUUAUUUUAACAUUUCAUGAAAACUAAUAAGAUAAUUACUUUCCUCCAC